CCUACGGGAGGCAGCAGUGGGGAAUAUUGGGCAAUGGGCGCAAGCCUGACCCAGCAACGCCGCGUGAAGGAAGAAGGCUUUCGGGUUGUAAACUUCUUUUCUCAGGGACGAAGAAAGUGACGGUACCUGAGGAAUAAGCCACGGCUAACUACGUGCCAGCAGCCGCGGUAAGACGUAGGGUGCAAGCGUUAUCCGGAUUUACUGGGUGUAAAGGGCGUGUAGGCGGGGAAGCAAGUCAGAUGUGAAAACCACGGGCUCAACCUGUGGCCUGCAUUUGAAACUGUUUUUCUUGAGUACUGGAGAGGCAGACGGAAUUCCUAGUGGAGCGGUGAAAUGCGUAGAUAUUAGGAGGAACACCAGUGGCGAAGGCGGUCUGCUGGACAGCAACUGACGCUGAGGCGCGAAAGCGUGGGGAGCAAACAGGAUUAGAUACCCUUGUAGUC
rnacentral:rRNA from 1 species